rnacentral:rRNA from 1 species
AGAAUCAACGCUGGCGGCGUGCCUAACACAUGCAAGUCGAACGAGAAAGGGUAGCAAUACCUGAGUAAAGUGGCGCACGGGUGAGUAACACGUGACUAACCUACCCUGGAGUGGGGGAUAACUGAGGGAAACCUUAGCUAAUACCGCAUAACACCUACGGGUCAAAGGAGCAAUUCGCUUUGGGAGGGGGUCGCGGUCGAUUAGUUAGUUGGCGGGGUAAUGGCCCACCAAGACUUUGAUCGAUAU